CAGAAAGACCCUAUGAAGCUUUACUGUAACUUGAGAUUGAAUUUGGGCUUUAUUUGCGCAGGAUAGGUGGGAGGCUUUGAUGGUAUUUUUGCGGAAAUAUCGGAGCCAUUGGUGAGAUACCACUCUUGUAAAGCUAGAAUUCUAACCUUAUACCGUAAUCCGGUUAAGGAACAGUCUCUGGUGGGCAGUUUGACUGGGGCGGUCGCCUCCCAAAAGGUAACGGAGGCGCACAAAGGUUUCCUCAGAUCGGUCAGAAAUCGAUCGUAGAGCGUAAAGGCAUAAGGAAGCUUGACUGCGAGACCUACAAGUCGAGCAGAGACGAAAGUCGGUCUUAGUGAUCUGACGGUUCCGAGUGGAAGGGCCGUCACUCAACGGAUAAAAGUUACUCUAGGGAUAACAGGCUGA
rnacentral:rRNA from 1 species